GUAGGGAAUAUUGGACAAUGGACGAAAGUCUGAUCCAGCCAUGCCGCGUGAGCGAAGACGGCCCUUGGGUUGUAAAGCUCUUUUCUGAGGGAAGAACAUCCGGAGUAGGAAAUGACUCUGGCUUGACGGUACCUCAGGAAUAAGGAACGGCUAACUCCGUGCCAGCAGCCGCGGUAAUACGGAGGUUCCAAGCGUUGUUCGGAAUUACUGGGCGUAAAGGGAGCGUAGGCGGACAGGUCAGUCUGAAGUGGAAUUCCGGGGCUCAACUUCGGACUUGCUUCAGAUACUACCUGUCUUGAGUUCGCGAUAGGAAGAUGGAAUUCAGGGUGUAGCGGUGAAAUGCACAGAUAUCCUGAGGAACACCGGUGGCGAAAGCGGUCUUCUGGCGCGAAACUGACGCUGAGGCUCGAAAGCGUGGGUAGCAAACGGGAUUAGAUACCCGAGUAGUCC
rnacentral:rRNA from 1 species